rnacentral:rRNA from 1 species
GAUGAACGCUAGCUACAGGCUUAACACAUGCAAGUCGCGGGGCAGCAUGGGGGUUGCUUGCAAUCCCCGAUGGCGACCGGCGCACGGGUGAGUAACGCGUAUCCAACCUGCCCUUCACCACGGGAUAACCCGGCGAAAGUCGGACUAAUACCGUAUGUUGUCCAUUGACGGCAUCCGAUUUGGACGAAAGGGGUGGGGGUGAAGGAUGGGGAUGCGUCCGAUUAGCUGGACGGCGGGGGGACGGCCCACCGUGGCGACGAUCGGUAGGGGUUCUGAGAGGAAGGUCCCCCACACUGGAACUGAGACACGGUCCAGACUCCUACGGGAGGCAGCAGUGAGGAAUAUUGGUCAAUGGGCGUAAGCCUGAACCAGCCAAGUAGCGUGCAGGAUGACGGCCCUAUGGGUUGUAAACUGCUUUUAUGCGGGGAUAAAGUGGCCCACGUGUGGGUUUUUGCAGGUACCGCAUGAAUAAGGACCGGCUAAUUCCGUG